UGCGGUGUGGAACUUACAGGGGUUAUACCCCUGUUUCAGCACCUGAGGCGGUGCGUCAAGCGCCGCCUCUUUCUUAUAAUAUAUUGUGACAAAUGUGGAGAAAGGCUGGUGGGAGGCCAGGCCGUGGCCGCACACCUGGCGGGUGCGGCCCAUCGAGCCCGUUACUGGGAGGGCCGGCAAGUCGGGCUGCUGUUGCAGUCCGACUACCGGGACGCCAUGGAGCGUAUCCGGACCCUAUGAUGAUGAUGUAUGAAGGUCUGGAGCUAGCUGCCGUCUUCGGGAUGUGCCAUUUGUUUUCAAAAUUAUUUGUAAGUACUUGUAACAGCUACUAACAGGCGUAGUGUAGUAACUGUGUAUGCAGUGUAGUAACAGUGUGUAGUGUUUUGUGAUGGUCCUGUGCUAUAGCAGUCGUAAUGUGUUUUGUGAUGGUCCUGUGCUAUAGCGGUCGUAAUGUGUUGGGCUACUGAAGUACACUGCAUGAAGGGAUAUGUGUGGGUGCUUCGACAUAUUCUCGUGCUUCCUAAAUCCUAGAUACGUGUAUAGCACUAUAACCUAGAUGUGUGUGCGCGCGCGUGUGUGUG